GCGGCUCCCCUCAGCGCUUCCUGGAAACUCCCGCUUAGGAGCGAGGGGGGGCGGGAGCGAAAGAGUCCCAGGCCGGGAACGGGAGGGGGGCAGGGCACAGCCCCCUCUCCGUGCCUGGACGCCCCCCGAGCCCGCUGACACCCCUCAGGCCGACCCUCACCCCCUCUUCCUGUGCAGAUGGAGCAGGGAGAAGUAAGAAGGAUGAGGCAUAAAGAGGAGGAACUCACCCAGGUCCCACCCAGCACUGCAGAAGGAACCAGAAUUACCAGCCCUCGCUCUGCCUCGCCCAGGGUGUGCCCUGAUGAAAACAAACUGUUGGACAUUUUCCCCAAACACUCCUCUGCUGCUGCACAGGUGAGAAGCGAAGGUGGAAAGCAUUCCUGAGCGGAUGCAGGUAACAAGGAGGGGGAAAUACAGAUUUGUGCAGCUGGUGAAUCCUCCAGUAGCAGAACAGCAGUUUGGGAUAUCUUACAAGCCAACCCAUAUCUUCGUUUUAAAAUAAUCAAAAUUUGCACAUUGUGGUGUAAGAACCAGAAAUGCUUUUCAUUUACAUUUCCUGAAACUUUUGAGAUCUCUUCCCGAAUAUUUCAACACAUUCUCCUUCCCCAUUUUCCCAGCUGGGAUAAUUUUUUGCCAGCACAGGCAAUUCUUCUCGGUAUCCAUGGGAAUUGCCUCCAUAAUUAGACGUGCACCCAGUGCACAGAUCAGAGCGCUCCAACCCAGCAGCUGGAACUAGGAGGCAGGUCUGAUUAAAUCUGCUCUGCCACGAGGAGAAAAGCCAGCUUUAAUGAAACAUCACAGGACUCCCUACCCUGUCUUUAAACAGGGCAGGAAAAGGGACUCCGGGAUUACUUUGAGAGUGGCUGCUCGUGGUGUGCUCACAAUUCACAGAACUGAAAGGCAGCUCUGAGUGAUCCAGGGCCUUGAAACUGGGGAUCUGCCUCAUUAAAAAGGGGCUUAUUGCCAGCAGCUUAUUAAAGGGGCUCACAGUCUGCCUUCAGAGGGGAGUGAAGGUUGGAGGGGUCAGCAGGUGCAGAUGGAGGUUUUCUCCUUGAUAGUUUGUCCUCAAGCCAGUGAGAUCAGGGCCAGCUUGUAGAGGAGCAGCUUCUGUGGGUUUCCUGCCCUGCCCAGCAGUGAUUGUUUGUGUGGAUCCACCAAAAGACACCAAGCCAGCCAAGAGCUCUUUUUUUUUAUUAAAUUCCAGAAGGGUUUGGAUUAGAAGGACCUUAAAACCCACUCAGUCCCACCCCCUGCCAUAGGCAGGGAUACCUCCCACUCCUACUCCCUCCAGGCUGCUCCAAGCCCCGUCCAACCUGGCCUUGGACACCUCCAGGGAUGGGGCAACCACAUCUGCUCUGAAUUUUCAUGGAAAGUAACUGAUUUCUAUUCCUGCACACCCAGUUCUGCAGGUACAGUGUGCUGUUCAGGAAAGGGAGCUGGUGAAAGAGGCAGAUGGUCAGAUAGAAAUUAUUAAUCCCAUACAAGUUUUUGUCUUCAGUUGCUGCCUCCACUUGGUGUCACAAACCCUACGACUCCUGGGGGCUUCCCCUUUUUAGAAACAGGGCUGGGAGUUGGGGUGGAGCAGACAUGUUAAAAUUCCAAGUGGUUUGGUGGGUGGAAAAAAAGCAACUUUUAACAAAUACGCCGGGGCUGGGGGAUCAAACAGGGUUCUGGUCUAGACAGAACCGCACUCCCCGCCUGCCUCAGAAGUUCACAGCGCACCAGCUGACAGAAUUUAGCAUCUCGUUUCCCUAGCAUGAUUAAAAUGCAGCUCUGUGUCCUGGGGUACUGACAGCCCCUCAGAUCUCUGUGCAUUCCAAGCCAGGGCUCCAUUGCCAGCGCUGGAGUCGCUCCCUUUGCAAGCACGGCCCUGCAGACGAGCUGCGCUCACACAUCCCAGCAAUGCAGGGCUGCUUUAGCUGGGGUUUGAACUCAGCCCUUGCUGUAAUUCUAUGAUUUGAAUACCAUUUUCACAACCCUUGCAAGCAGCAGAUGAAUGAGAGAUUGCUGGCUUUGAGUCAAAAGCUGCAGUAAUUAAAUGUUUAUAAAACACUUUAAGCAAGCGAAGUGCUGUUAUAGACAAGGAACCAACAGAUCUGGCAGAUUGGAGAGGGAUUUUAAGGCACACCAGCAAACAGAGCCCAUUCCCCCCACUACAUCUCUCUUUUAGAGCUGCUAGCAGAGGGCUAUGGAGGCCAUCACCAGGUUCCUUUUAUUACAGCCAUAAUAAGUGAAAUCAGAA
ensembl:lncRNA